GACGAACGCUGGCGGCGUGCUUAACACAUGCAAGUCGAACGAUGAAGCGGUGCUUGCACCGUGGAUUAGUGGCGAACGGGUGAGUAAUACGUGAGUGACCUACCUUUGACUCUGGGAUAAGCCUGGGAAACUGGGUCUAAUACCGGAUACGACCAAUCUCUGCAUGGGGUGUUGGUGGAAAGCGUUAUGGAGUGGUUUUAGAUGGGCUCACGGCCUAUCAGCUUGUUGGUGAGGUAAUGGCUUACCAAGGCGACGACGGGUAGCCGGCCUGAGAGGGUGACCGGCCACACUGGGACUGAGACACGGCCCAGACUCCUACGGGAGGCAGCAGUGGGGAAUAUUGCACAAUGGGCGCAAGCCUGAUGCAGCGACGCCGCGUGAGGGAUGACGGCCUUCGGGUUGUAAACCUCUGUUAGCAUCGAAGAAGCGAAAGUGACGGUAGGUGCAGAGAAAGCGCUGGCUAACUACGUG
rnacentral:rRNA from 1 species